rnacentral:lncRNA from 1 species
GCUCUACAGAGUGAGGCUGUCUGUGGGGUUUUUCCACCUUUAUUCUCCUUUUCCUGAGCGACUGCAGCAUCACUGGCUGCACAGUGAACCAUGGUGGAGGUUACACAGAAGGAAGCAGCCGAGAGGAACGAACACAGAAAAACUGUUUCAUGUGACUUUUUUAUUCGAUUAGUUUAUUAAAGGUUUAUUACAUGAAUUUCCAAAGUGCGCAGCAAAAGACUAAAGACAGAUAAAACACACGUGAUGAGUAUAAACAUGUGAUUGUGUGUUUCACUGCACUCUGUCCUGUCUGUGUGUGAUGUGUUCAUGUGACUGAAUCAAAGACUAAUUACUUUGUACACACAAAAAGUGGACAAUAAAGUUGUUUUGAAUAUUUUGGCUGUUUUCCGUGGUGUUCAGGUGUCUUCACUGCUCCUCCUCCUCACUCUUCACACACCUGAAGCUUUUCACAUCAGAUCAUUUGUUGCUGUCUUUUUUAAAUAAGUCAAACAUGUCACUAAAAGUGCUCCGAACGACCAUCGAUUCCUGAUUCUAUCAAUGUGACGUGUAACAGCACCCCCCCCCCCCCGUGGUCAGAGAGGGUAUUACACCCACACUGAGGUUGAGAGAGGUGAAGCACAUCAGCAGAGUGUCUGAUAGAUGACAUUCAACUAAAAUGAAAAUAAACCAGUAACCUGAAAAGGAACCGAGAGGAAACUGUUCCUAAUCUUUUGCCUAAACCAUCAUUUCUUUGAAAACUCACUCAGCUGUGCCUUCAUGCAGUUUCCACUUAAACACUGUUUCUGUUCUUUGUAUUUUGAUGAGUUCCAGCUUUUGUUCCAUGUGAUGUUCACAGCUUUGAAUUUACUUGAUCAUCUUUUUACAGACAAACAUCCUGCUGCUGAUCAGGUCAAAUGUGUUUCUCAGUCCUGGAUAUUUCAUGUCAUCUCCGUGGGUGAACAGGACCAUUUAGACCCGAGUGAUUUCCCUCCUCACAUCAGGUUCACUCUUGCUGGUGUUAAACAGACCUGGAGGAUCCACAACAGCCAGAGUUUGAUCCCCACUCUCCUGUUUGUGUCUGUCACUUGGACAUGAGUGAGGAGGAGGAUUUACAAUUACAAACUUCUUUUUAAAGAUGGUGUUUACUGCUGAAACAAAACAUUACAUCACUGAAGGUAAUCAGAAUCCUAAUGUUCACUGUUAGAAGUAAAAGUACUGACUGUUGAGUAUCCAGAGGUAGAAGGAAAGUUCAGGCUUUCUGUCCAGUUUUCAGUUGGUGGAAAAUUCAACACAGACAUGCGAGACUACCAAAAGUACUAAGUACAAAUACUUUGUUACUGUACUUAAGUACAAUUCACAGGUAUCUGUACUUGAGUAGUUUUUUUCUGACUGCUCCUUACUUUUACUCUCUACAUUUUAAACAAAUAUCUGUAUCUCAAAUGUGGUCAAGUUUCUGUGUCAGAAAACAAGAAAAUGCAAUGAA